rnacentral:rRNA from 1 species
GAUGAACGCUGGCGGCGUGCCUAAUACAUGCAAGUCGAGCGAACAGACGCGGCGUUUGCUCCUCUCUCGUUAGCGGCGGACGGGUGAGACACACGUGGAUACCCUCCCUAUCAUUCUGGGAUCUCCUCGGGACUCCGGAGCUUAUCCCGGAUAAUCUCUUGCUCCGCAUGGUUCAUUAGUGAAAGUCGGUUUUUCUGUAACUUAUCGCUGGAUCUGCGCCGUAUUAGCUAGUUGGUACGGUCAAGGCUUACCAAGGCAAGCAUGCGUAACCGACCUGCGAGGGUGGUCGGCCACACGAGAACGGGGACACGGUCCAGACUCCUACGGGAGGCAGCAGUAGGGAAUCGUCCGCAAUGGGCGAAAGCCUUACGGAACAACGCCGCGUGAGUGAUGAAGGUCUUCGGAUCGUAAAACUCUGUUAUUAGGGAAGAACAAAUGUGGAAGUAACUAUGCACGUCUUGACGGUACCAAAUCAGAAAGCCACGGCUAACUACGUG